CUCUACUGCAGCAAGGCCCCGUUUAUUUUUCAAGGACACCAGAGAACAUUGCAAACCAGAUCAGAUCAUACUCUUCCCUUAACAUCUGCAGUGGCUUGAAGCAUCUCCAGAAUACCACCUAACCCCUUCAUGCCUCAUCUCUGCUGUUCUGUCUACCUUGGAAGGAAUGUACAUCUUCCUCAGACUAGUUCCCACUCCUACAACAGAGGGAGGUGAGUGUGGCCCCUGGGACAACUGGUGGAAUCAAGAUUCCAGAGAACGGAGAAAUGUGGCUGUGUUCCAAAAUGAAUACUAGUACC